rnacentral:rRNA from 1 species
AGAGUUUGAUCCUGGCUCAGAAUCAACGCUGGCGGCGCGCUUAACACAUGCAAGUCGAACGAGAAAGCUCAGCAAUGGGUGAGUAAAGUGGCGUACGGGUGAGUAACACGUGGAUUAUCUACCUCUUAGUGGGGAAUAACUCUGGGAAACCGGAGCUAAUACCGCAUAAGCCUGGAAAGGGAAAGCAGCAAUGCGCUGAGAGAGGAGUCCGCGGCCGAUUAGCUAGUUGGCAGGGUAAAAGCCUACCAAGGCUAUGAUCGGUAGCCGGCCCGAGAGGGCACACGGCCACACUGGCACUGAAACACGGGCCAGACUCCUACGGGAGGCAGCAGUGGGGAAUCUUGCACAAUGGGGGCAACCCUGAUGCAGCGACGCCGCGUGAGCGAUGAAGCCCUUCGGGGUGUAAAGCUCUUUCGGCAGGAACGAUAAUGACGGUACCUGAAGAAGAAGCUGCGGCUAACUACGUGCCAGCAGCCGCGGUAAUACGUAGGCAGCAAGCGUUGUUCGGAGUUACUGGGCGUAAAGAGUGUGUAGGUGGUCCUCUAAGUUUGGUGUGAAAUCUCCCGGCUCAACUGGGAGGGUGCGCCGAAAACUGGGGGGCUUGAGUGUGGGAGAGGAAAGCGGAAUUCCUGGUGUAGCGGUGAAAUGCGUAGAUAUCAGGAGGAACACCUGCGGUGUAGACGGCUUUCUGGACCACUACUGACACUGAGACACGAAAGCGUGGGGAGCAAACAGGAUUAGAUACCCUGGUAGUCC